UUAGAGAUUCGCGGCCUAUCAGUUUGUUGGUGAGGUAACGGCUCACCAAGGAUUCGACGGGUAGCCGGCUUGUGAGGGCGACCGUCCACACUGGGAGUGAGAUACGGCCCAGACUCCUUCGGGAGGCAGCAGUGGGGAAUAUUUCACAAUGGGCGGAAGCCUGUUGCAGCAACGCCGCGUGCGGGAUGACGGCCUUCGGGUUGUAAACCGCUUUCAGUUAGGACGAAGCGCAAGUGACGGUACUAGCAGAAGAAGGCCCGGCCAAUUACGUGCCACCAGCCGCGGUGAUACGUAGGGUCCGAGCGUUGUCCGGAAUUAUUGGGCGUAAAGGGUUUGUAGGCGGUCUGUCGCUUCGGAAGUGAAAACUCAGGGUUUAACCCUGAGCCUCCUUCCGAUACGGCCAGACUAGAGGGAUGCAGGGGAGAACGGAAUUCCUGGUGGAGCGGUGGAAUGCGCAGAUAUCAGGAGGAACACCGGUGGCGAAGGCGGUUCUCUGGGCAUUUCCUGACGCUGAGAAGCGAAAGCGUGGGGAGCAAACAGGCUUAGAUACCCUGGUAGUCCACGCCGUAAACGGUGGGCACUAGGUGUGGGGGACAUUCCACGUUCUCCGUGCCGAGGCUAACGCAUUAAGUGCCCCGCCUGGGGAGUACGGAAU
rnacentral:rRNA from 1 species